rnacentral:rRNA from 1 species
GAUGAACGCUGGCGGCGUGCCUAAUACAUGCAAGUCGAGCGAACGGAUGAGAAGCUUGCUUCUCUGAUGUUAGCGGCGGACGGGUGAGUAACACGUGGAUAACCUACCUAUAAGACUGGGAUAACUUCGGGUAACCGGAGCUAAUACCGGAUAAUAUUUUGAACCGCAUGGUUCAAAAGUGAAAGACGGUCUUGCUGUCACUUAUAGAUGGAUCCGCGCUGCAUUAGCUAGUUGGUAAGGUAACGGCUUACCAAGGCAACGAUGCAUAGCCGACCUGAGAGGGUGAUCGGCCACACUGGAACUGAGACACGGUCCAGACUCCUACGGGAGGCAGCAGUAGGGAAUCUUCCGCAAUGGGCGAAAGCCUGACGGAGCAACGCCGCGUGAGUGAUGAAGGUCUUCGGAUCGUAAAACUCUGUUAUUAGGGAAGAACAUAUGUGUAAGUAACUGUGCACAUCUUGACGGUACCUAAUCAGAAAGCCACGGCUAACUACGUG